rnacentral:rRNA from 1 species
UACGGAGGGUGCGAGCGUUGUCCGGAAUCAUUGGGCGUAAAGGGCGCGUAGGUGGCCACUUCAAGCGUGCGGUGAAAGUCGGGGGCUCAACCCCUGAUCGGCCGUGCGAACUGGGGGGCUGGAGCACUGUAGAGGCAGGCGGAAUUCCGGGUGUAGUGGUGAAAUGCGUAGAGAUCCGGAGGAACACCAAAGGCGAAGGCAGUGUCCUGGGGAGUACCUGACGCUCAGGUGCGAAAGCCAGGGGAGCGAACGGG